rnacentral:rRNA from 1 species
UACGUAGACGGUUGGAUAAGUCGGAUGUGGAAGCCCCGGGCUCAACCUGGGAAUGGCAUUCGAGACUGUUCAGCUAGGGUGCGGAAGAGGGAAGCGGAAUUUCCGGUGUAGCGGUGAAAUGCGUAGAUAUCGGAAGGAACACCAGUGGCGAAAGCGGCUUCCUGGUCCAGCACCGACGUUCAGGUACGAAAGCAUGGGGAGCAAACAGGAUUAGAUACCCUGGUAGUCCAUGCCAUAAACGAUGAGGACUAGACGUUGAGAGGGUAAGCCUCGCAGUGUCGUAGCUAACGCGCUAAGUCCUCCGCCUGGGGAGUACGGCCGCAAGGUUGAA